AGAACGAACGCUGGCGGCAGGCUUAACACAUGCAAGUCGAACGCUCCGCAAGGGGAGUGGCAGACGGGUGAGUAACGCGUGGGAAUCUACCCAAUACUACGGAAUAGCUCCGGGAAACUGGAAUUAAUACCGUAUGUGCCCUACGGGGGAAAGAUUUAUCGGUAUUGGAUGAGCCCGCGUUGGAUUAGCUAGUUGGUGAGGUAACGGCCCACCAAGGCGACGAUCCAUAGCUGGUCUGAGAGGAUGAUCAGCCACACUGGGACUGAGACACGGCCCAGACUCCUACGGGAGGCAGCAGUGGGGAAUAUUGGACAAUGGGCGCAAGCCUGAUCCAGCCAUGCCGCGUGGAUGAUGAAGGCCUUAGGGUUGUAAAGUCCCUUUAACGGGGAGAUAAUGACGGUACCGUAGAAUAAGCCCCGGCUAACUUCGUGCCAGCAGCCGC
rnacentral:rRNA from 1 species